rnacentral:rRNA from 1 species
UACGUAGGGGGCAAGCGUUGUCCGGAUUUAUUGGGCGUAAAGAGCGUGUAGGCGGCCAGAUAGGUCCGUUGUGAAAACUGGAGGCUUAACCUCCAGCUGUCGAUGGAAACCAUCUGGCUAGAGUCCGGAAGAGGAGAGUGGAAUUCCUGGUGUAGCGGUGAAAUGCGCAGAUAUUCGCAAGAACACCAGUGGCGAAGGCGGCUCACUGGCCCGGUACUGACGCUGAGGCACGAAAGCGUGGGGAGCAAACAGG